rnacentral:rRNA from 1 species
CGGGCAUUACUGCACGAAGUGCGAUAGGGGGAUCCCAAGUGCACAGGCAUAGCGCCUGUGCUUUUCGGUACCCUAAGGCGGUACCAGAAUAAGGGCUGGGCAAGACCGGUGCCAGCCGCCGCGGUAAUACCGGCAGCCCAAGUGAUGGCCGAUCUUAUUGGGCCUAAAGCGUCCGUAGCUGGCCGCGCAAGUCCAUCGGGAAAUCCACCUGCUCAACAGGUGGGCGCCCGGUAGAAACUGCGUGGCUUGGGACCGGAAGGCGCGACGGGUACGUCCGGGGUAGGAGUGAAAUCCCGUAAUCCUGGACGGACCGCCGAUGGCGAAAGCACGUCGCGAGAACGGAUCCGACAGUGAGGGACGAAAGCCAGGGUCUCGAACCGGAUUAGAUACCCGGGUAGUCCUGGCCGUAAACAAUGUCUGCUAGGUGUGGCUCCCACUACGAGUGGGUGCUGUGCCGUAGGGAAGCCGCUAAGCAGACCGCCUGGGAAGUACGUCCGCAAGGAUGAAACUUAAAGGAAUUGGCGGGGGAGCACUACAACCGGAGGAGCCUGCGGUUUAAUUGGACUCAACGCCGGACAUCUCACCAGCAUCGACUGUAGUAAUGACGAUCAGGUUGAUGACCUUAUCCGAGCUUCAGAGAGGAGGUGCAUGGCCGCCGUCAGCUCGUACCGUGAGGCGUCCUGUUAAGUCAGGCAACGAGCGAGACCCGCACCCUUACUUGCCAGCAGUACCGCGAGGUAGCUGGGGACAGUAGGGGGACCGCCGUGGCUAACACGGAGGAAGGAACGGGCAACGGUAGGUCAGUAUGCCCCGAAUGUGCUGGGCAACACGCGGGCUACAAUGGUCGAGACAAAGGGUUCCAACUCCGAAAGGAGACGGUAAUCUCAGAAACUCGAUCGUAGUUCGGAUUGUGGGCUGCAACUCGCCCACAUGAAGCUGGAUUCGGUAGUAAUCGCGUGUCACAAGCGCGCGGUGAAUACGUCCCUGCUCUUGCCAACCGCCCGCGCCAAAAAAAAAAACUUUCUAGGCCGG